rnacentral:rRNA from 1 species
AUUGAACGCUGGCGGCAGGCCUAACACAUGCAAGUCGAGCGGAGCGGCGGACGGGCGAGUCAUGCCUAGGAAUCUGCCUGGUCGUGUGGGAUAACGUCCGGAAACGGGCGCUAAUACCGUCUACUAUCAGAUGCGCCUAGGUCGGAAUAGCUAGUUGGUGGGGUAAAGGCCUACAAAGGCGACGAUCCGUAACUGGUCUGGGAGGAUGAUCAGUCACCGUGGAACUGAGACACGGUCCAGACGCCUACGGGGGGAAGCAGUGGGGAAUAUUGGACAAUGGGCGAAAGCCUGAUCCAGCCAUGCCGCGUGUGUAAAGAGGGUCUUGGGAUUGUAAGGCACUUUAAGUUGGGAGGCGUUACCAACAGAAUAAGCGCCGGCUAACAUCGUGCCAGGAGCCGCGGUAAUAC